AUGGGCCGAUGUGAAUUGGGUUGA
rnacentral:siRNA from 1 species